GGGUCUCUCUUGUUGGACCAGAUAGAGCCUGGGAGCUCUCUGGCUAGCAGGGGAACCCAC
rfam:HIV-1 isolate 97KR004 from South Korea, complete genome.